rnacentral:rRNA from 1 species
AGCGAACGCUGGCGGCAGGCUUAACACAUGCAAGUCGAGCGGGCCCUUCGGGGUCAGCGGCAGACGGGUGAGUAACGCGUGGGAACGUGCCCUUCGGUUCGGAAUAACUCAGGGAAACUUGAGCUAAUACCGGAUACGCCCUUAUGGGGAAUGGUUUACUGCCGAAGGAUCGGCCCGCGUCUGAUUAGCUAGUUGGUGAGGUUAUGGCUCACCAAGGCGACGAUCAGUAGCUGGUCUGAGAGGAUGAUCAGCCACACUGGGACUGAGACACGGCCCAGACUCCUACGGGAGGCAGCAGUGGGGAAUAUUGGACAAUGGGGGCAACCCUGAUCCAGCCAUGCCGCGUGAGUGAUGGCGGCCUUAGGGUUGUAAAGCUCUUUUCUCCGGGACGAUAAUGACGGUACCGGAGGAAUAAGCCCCGGCUAACUUCGUG